UGCCACAUUGGGGCAUCGGUAAAGGAAAUCUUUUUAGGACAGUGUUGAAGCCAUCUUUCGUCUCUUACUGCAAUCUCUGCUACAGAAAUCAUGGACCUUAAGUAUGCUUCCUGUGAAACUCAGAUGUCUCCGACUCUAAUGAGAAAAUAACAAAAGAAAAUGGGCAUAAGAUUAAAAAGCAGACCUUGACACUUUUU